rnacentral:lncRNA from 1 species
UCAGGGGUAGGAUGGGAAGUAGGAGCAGAGGAGCGUCCAGCUGAAGUCGUGGCCGAUUGCACGCUUCUGAUGUGUUUGUUAGUGGACUUAGCAAUGGGGUGGGGUGGAUGGAGCCGAUGAGAGCUUCAUCUGUCAGCUCAUCUGUGCAUGUCACAUUCUGCAGUCGAAAUGUCAGUCCAGUCCUCUUCCUGCAGGGACGCCGUGGCCUUCCAGCUAAGAGAGCUGCUGGGAUGCAUUUCAGAGGACGCGGGAGACCUGAGCAGGGUCUGCGGCUUGAGUCGGCCAUUCCUGGAUCUUUCCUGCAGUCUAGGUGGGGGGGUGCCCUGGGGCUGGUCUA